UCAGGAUGAACGCUGGCGGCGUAGCCUAAUACAUGCAAGUCGAACGGGUGGAUGGGAGCUUGCUCCUUGAUACCUAGUGGCGAACGGGUGAGUAACACGUAGGUAACCUGCCCUUAAGCUUGGGAUACCCAGAGGAAACUUUGGCUAAUACCGGAUAACAACAGAAGAGGCAUCUCUUUUGUUUGAAAGGCCCUUCACGGGGUCACUUAAGGAUGGACCUGCGGCGCAUUAGCUAGUUGGUGAGAUAACAGCCCACCAAGGCGAGGAUGCGUAGCCGACCUGAGAGGGUGAUCGGCCACAUUGGAACUGAGACACGGUCCAAACUCCUACGGGAGGCAGCAGUAAGGAGUUUUCGGCAAUGGGGAAACCCUGACCGAGCAACGCCGCGUGAGUGAUGACGGCCCUAUGGGUUGUAAAGCUCUGUUGUGAGGGACGAAUGACUAGUCGAGGAAAUGCGAUUAGUUUGACGGUACCUUACCAGAAAGCCACGGCUAACUACGUGCC
rnacentral:rRNA from 1 species